rnacentral:lncRNA from 1 species
CAACCGCUUCACUCCCUGAGCAGGACCCACGGCGAGGGGGCGGGGAACACAGACACUGCGGACAGACGGACUACGCGAUUUGGGGUUCGGUGAAUACUUUAUCCGUUCCUUCGCUCAAAGAGGGGGAAAACUCCUCUGCAAAGACCCAUAUUUAAGGCAAAGUUUUGCUCGAAAGAGGAGUCUGAGCUGUUGGCGCAGAGUAACCUUGUAUCUAGGCUCAGAGCAAGGUUGGACAACCUGUGAUGUCUAUGCCAGGGGUGGCGCCGGCGCCAACUGGGAUUUUGGCACUCGAGCUGGCUGCGACAGAGCCGUCCUGCAGAUGACUCCACAGCUGGAAGAAUUUGAAGGCCAGCUCACUUCUGGGUUUGUUCCUCUCUGAGGGCACACUUGCGAUUUCCAAGGUAGAGCAAGGGGCACAAGUUAGAGGUCAGCCUAGACCGUGAACAAGACCCUCUCUCGAAAAAGCUUUUAAGCAGGGAUGUAGCUCAGUGGCAUAAGAGCUUGCCUGAGCCGGGCAUGGUGGCGCAUGCCUUUAAUCCCAGCACUCGGGAGGCUGAGGCAGGAGGUUGUGAGUUUGAGACCAGCCUGGGCUACAAAGUGAGCUCAAGGCCAGCCUGAACUGCAUAGUGAGACCCUGUCUCAAAAAAGACAAAAAACAACAACAAAAAAAAAAAAAAAAAAAACAAGGAAAAGAACAUAUUUUCUCUUUAGGGUGAUAAAAACAUUCUAAAGCCGGGUGUGGUGGUGCACA